ACUGGGACUGGGAGCUAUUGGCAGCGAAGUUGCCCGUGCAUGUAAAUACUGGGAUAUGACUGUGUGGGGUUUGAAACGAUCUGAAGUCAAGGAAGAAGACAGGAAGACAUUUGUGGAUGAGUACAGACAACCAUGUGAUCUGCUUGAACUACUGUCCUCCUGUGAUUUCCUGGUCAACA